AUGCUUGUUUUGGCAGCACAUACACUAAAACUGGAACAAUGCAGAGAAGAUUAGCAUGGUCAUUGCACAAGGAUGACAUGCAAACUUGUGAAGUGUUCCAUAAUUUU